AUUGAACGCUGGCGGCAGGCCUAACACAUGCAAGUCGAGCGGAUGAAGGGAGCUUGCUCCUGGAUUCAGCGGCGGACGGGUGAGUAAUGCCUAGGAAUCUGCCUGGUAGUGGGGGAUAACGUCCGGAAACGGGCGCUAAUACCGCAUACGUCCUGAGGGAGAAAGUGGGGGAUCUUCGGACCUCCCGCUAUCAGAUGAGCCUAGGUCGGAUUAGCUAGUUGGUGGGGUAAAGGCCUACCAAGGCGACGAUCCGUAACUGGUCUGAGAGGAUGAUCAGUCACACUGGAACUGAGACACGGUCCAGACUCCUGAGGGAGGCAGCAGUGGGGAAUAUUGGACAAUGGGCGAAAGCCUGAUCCAGCCAUGCCGCGUGUGUGAAGAAGGUCUUCGGAUUGUAAAGCACUUUAAGUUGGGAGGAAGGGCAGUAAGUUAAUACCUUGCUGUUUUGACGUUACCAACAGAAUAAGCACCGGCUAACUUCGUG
rnacentral:rRNA from 1 species